CCUACGGGAGGCAGCAGUGAGGAAUAUUGGUCAAUGGACGAGAGUCUGAACCAGCCCAAGUAGCGUGCAGGAUGACGGCCCUAUGGGUUGUAAACUGCUUUUAUAAGGGAAUAAAGUGAGUCUCGUGAGACUUUUUGCAUGUACCUUAUGAAUAAGGACCGGCUAAUUCCGUGCCAGCAG
rnacentral:rRNA from 1 species